GAGAAAACAAUACAUUUAUCUAAAUCCUCGUGUAUUCAGCCACUUAAAAGCGAAAGAGUUAAAGCUUAAACAGAUAUUGUAAAAUCAAUGUUUUUCCAUUUAGAAGAAGGUUUAACUGCAGCAGUGAAAACAAGUCACGAAUAUAUUCUCUUCCAUUUGUGUCAGACAGUUUUCACUGCAUGAUAUAAAUAUUGUAAACAACGUAGAAGUCUGUGUUUAGAAACACUUUUUUCAAGCAUAUUAUCGUGAAACGACCAGAAAAAGUACAAAAAUAUAAAAAUAACAUACCUUUUCCAUUGUCCUUUUAGUAGAAAAACGUUGAUUAAAUCAAAACAGAUUCGUUUUUAUGUCUUUUGGAGUCGGACCUUCACAUGAACCUGUCGUUGUCAGAAGCAACUGAAUUUGUCAAAGCCAGGCUUAAAACUUUUUAAUUUUAUCCAAAGCUUCACUGCUACCAUAUUCAUACAUGUAAAUUUUUAUUGAAACUAUACGUCCUUUUGUCUGUUUCUUGCCAGUUUUCUCGAAUUUUCGUAUUCUUGUUCUAUAUCUUUCAAGUUUCAACUCUUCAAUUUUUGUCAACCUCGCAUUAAAAAUAAACAACUGCGCUGAUCUCAAAGUAGCUCGCAAGCAACACUGGGAUUUUAAUGAAUUUAAUUUUUACAUCUGAUAAAAAAUAAACACGUUAUUUACCGGCAGCGUCGGUCCGGAUGAGAAAAACUGUGCCCUCGGUGUUGAAAACUUUCAAGACCUCGGCCACAAGUAGAAAGUGUUCUCCAGUUUGUAUUUCAUAAUUUCCAUACCCAGCGUAAGCAGAAAGAUAAAGUCUGCCGCGGCUGGGUCUUGAACCCGCGACCUUCGAAUUACUAGAUCGACGCUCUACCAACUGAGCUACACGGUCAGACGGAUUUAACACUGGAAAUUAUGAACUAUAUACUGAAUGUCAUAAACAUACUCAUUUUCUGAAACCAGCUCAGGUAUACAUAGUCCAAUUGUCCAGCUCUCAGAUGGUUAAGGCGCUCCAACUCAAUCCCAAAGCCGCAGGUUCGAUUACCGCAAGAGGGCACAUGGUUGCAUUUUUCCCAGCUGCACCUGGUUAGGUCUAAAAUGUACAGUAUAAUGUAAUCUUGAACUCGAAAAAAUUCUUGAACUACUUAUCAGUAAUUUGAAUUAUAAACUAUUGAUAUAUUUAAUUAGAAAGACUAUAGUACUUAAUUUAAAUAAACCACAUACCUAAACGACAAAGUGUCAAUGUGUCAUUAUCAACCACUGGC